UACGUAGGCAGCGAGCGUUGUUCGGAGUUACUGGGCGUAAAGGGUGCGUAGGCGGUUGUUUAAGUUUGGUGUGAAAUCUCCCGGCUCAACUGGGAGGGUGCGCCGAAUACUGAAUGACUAGAGUGCGGGAGAGGAUAGUGGAAUUCCUGGUGUAGCGGUGAAAUGUGUAGAUAUCAGGAGGAACACCUGUGGUGUAGACAGCUUACUGGACCAUUUCUGACGCUGAGACACGAAGGCGUGGGUAGCAAACAGG
rnacentral:rRNA from 1 species